rnacentral:rRNA from 1 species
GACGAACGCUGGCGGCGUGCCUAAUACAUGCAAGUAGAACGCAGUUGCGAACGGGUGAGUAACGCGUAGGUAACUGCCUGGUAGCGGGGGGUAACUAUUGGAAAAGAUCGCUAAUACCGCAUACUACCAGAUGGACCUGCGUUGUAUUAGCUAGGGGGUGAGGUAACGGCUCACCAAGGCAACGAUACAUAGCCGACCGGAGGGGGUGAUCGGCCACACUGGGACUGAGACACGGCCCAGACUCCUACGUGAGGAAGCAGUGGGGAAUGUUGGACAAUGGGCGCAAGCCUGAUGCAGCCAUGCCGCGUGUCUGAAGAAGGCCUUCGGGUUGUAAAGGACUUUUGUCAGGGAAGCGGUACCUGAAGAAUAAGCACCGGCUAACUACGUGCCAGCAGCCGCGGUAAUUC